rnacentral:rRNA from 1 species
GAUGAACGCUAGCGGCAGGCCUAAUACAUGCAAGUCGAACGGUGGUAGCGAUACCAUAGUGGCGCACGGGUGCGUAACACGUAUGCAACCUACCUUAUACUUAGGGAUAGCCUCUGGAAACGGAGAUUAAUACCUAAUAGUACAUUGACUUGGCAUCGGGUUAAUGUUAAAGAUUUAUUGGUAUAAGAUGGGCAUGCUCCCAAAUAGUUAGUUGGUGAGGUAACGGCUAACCAAGACGAUGAUUGGUAGGGGAACUGAGAGGUUAAUCCCCCACACUGGGACUGAGAUACGGGCCAGACUCCUACGGGAGGCAGCAGUAGGGAAUAUUGGGCAAUGGAGGCAACUCUGACCCAGCCAUGCCGCGUGCAGGAUGAAGGCGUUAUGCGUUGUAAACUGCUUUUAUAUAGGAAGAAACAGACCUUGCGAGGUAGAUUGACGGUACUAUAUGAAUAAGCACCGGCUAACUCCGUGCCAGCCGCCGCCGUAA